AUUUUUUUAAAAGCAGAGGAUGUUGGAAAGAUUCUCUCCCAUGUGAUCUUGAAGAUUUUAUUUGUCACUCAUGUACUCCAAUGUUUUAGAGCAUGUUGAAAAUAUUUUCACAAAAUGAACAUUGGAAAGAAGUUGAAAAAAAAAUGCUUAAAUAGACAGAGUGCACAAG